rnacentral:rRNA from 1 species
UACGGGGGGGGCAAGCGUUGUUCGGAAUUACUGGGCGUAAAGGGCUCGUAGGCGGCCAACUAAGUCAGACGUGAAAUCCCUCGGCUUAACCGGGGAACUGCCUCUGAUACUGGAUGGCUUGAGAUUGGGAGAGGGAUGCGGAAUUCCAGGUGUAGCGGUGAAAUGCGUAGAUAUCUGGAGGAAUACCGGUGGCGAAGGCGGCAUCCUGGACCGAGAUUGACACUGAUGAGCGAAAGCCAGGGGAGCAAACGGG